rnacentral:rRNA from 1 species
CUAACAAGGUGAAGACUGAGCACUCUAGACGAACUGCCGUUGACAAAACGGAGGAAGGUGGGGAUGACGUCAAAUCAUCAUGCCCCUUAUGUUCUGGGCUACACACGUGCUACAAUGGCCGGUACAGACGGAGGCGAAGCCGCGAGGCGGAGCAAAUCCGAAAAAAGCCGGUCUCAGUUCGGAUUGCAGGCUGCAAUUCGCCUGCAUGAAGUCGGAAUCGCUAGUAAUCGCAGGUCAGCAUACUGCGGUGAAUACGUUCCCGGGCCUU